UAUUUAACAUCAAGUCCGAAUCAGGCGAAGUCAACUUCACUCGACCAUGUACACCCUUACCUUACCUCCAGCUCUAAGACAUUUCUUGUGAGAUCUGCAGCGCCGUUCUGUGUUCUCACAUCCAUUGCCAUAUCUUCCAUGUAAGUUGUGAGAUUAGGUUGUGUUCGUCAUGGAAAUGGUUGUCAAUAAUUGAUCAUCCAACAACUGUGAUUUCUUUGAUUAAAGAAGAAUGGAUCCAUCGAAUUAUCUUGAUGUCUCAAGGAUUGCAUUUUGGUUCAAAUGGCACUCCAUCCAUAUUCUCUCGUGGGUCUUCUCGUUCCCUUGAUGAUGAAAUUUUAGAAGAUAUUAAGAGAGUUAUGCCUCACAUGUCUUCUCAUUCCCCUUUGAUUCAGCGGUAAGGAAAAGCCCUAGUUCUGCGGAAAAGAAAGCGAAAAAGAAGGAAAAAAGCGGAAAAACCGGCAAAAAAGAACAAAUAACUUGGUGUUAAAAAGGUUGAAGUUGUCUCUAGUACAACAGAAACAAAAAACUAUCUCUUAUUGUCGUCGCUAUUUUCUUGUUGGAAGAUGCUAUGAGGUUUAAAUGUUUUUCCCCCUUAUACUUGCAUAGAGUUGUUUCCACUUUCAUUCUUUUUUUUUCCAUAUUUUACUGUCGAACUUUACAUGAGAGCAUGAGAAAAUUUUAUAUUUGUGUUUUGAUACUAUAAUUAACUGUGAUCCUAGAUGGUAAUUGAAAUAUUCAUUUCUUAUAACAUGGUGACCUGCUCGAAGUUCAUUUAUAUUUGGGACUAAUGGUAAACACAUGACAAGAACAUGAUAACAAAAUCCUAUGAUGAAAUAGAUGUUUUGUUAUGCAAGAUUUCUAUAUUAGAAAGUUAAGUUAGAAAUUCUGUAAAAUUUCCUCAUUUCCAGUAUUUCUUUUAUGUGACAUGAAUUGACAUGAACCCUUGUAAAUUUGUGCAGUAGCAUGACUGUGUCAUUGUUUUAUAGGGUGACAAGUGCCAUUUUUCACAUGAUUCAGUGCCUUUUACCAAAUCAAAGCCAUGCUCCUUUUUCCCUCGUCACUCCUGCAUGAAAGGGGAUGACUGCCCUUUUAAUCAUCAACUCUCCAAGUUUCCUUGUGUUAACUUUGUGUCCGGAGGUUUUUGUGUCAGAGGUGAUGCAUGCUUGUUUCCUAACUGCUGUUGAACGAUAUUGAUUUUGAAAUUGCAGCCAUGCUCCUUUUUCGUUCGUCACUCCUGCAUGAAAGGGGAUGACUGCCCUUUUGAUCAUCAACUCUCCAAGUAUCCUUGUGUUAGCUUUGUGUCCGGAGGUUUUUGUGUUAGAGGUGAAUGUAUGCUUGUUUUCGCACCAGGUACCACAUCCACCCUAUAUCUCUUCCUGUGCUUGUGAUUUCAAUCCAAAUACAAAGGUUUUUGUUAGCAUAUAUAAUUAGGAUAAUUAGGUUGUGCAUUAUGUGUUAGCUUUGAGGAAAAUUUCCCUAAGGGCAGCAGGUAUACAGACGCAAGAGGUUCAGGGACAGUUUUGUAAUUAAGCAGAAUCAGGAAGUAGGAGAAUUGAGUGCCCUGUUUCCCUUUGCUUGUUUCUAUUUCUCCUCUAUCUUCUCUUCAACUGUGAUUUGAGAUUCUAGACUCAUCAGUCUGGAUGAUACUAUGUAAUUUAGCCUCUCCUAUGUAGUUGAAAGUUGAAACACGCAUUUUAAAAGCCUUUCUCGUUUUUGAAUCUCAAUAGUUAUCAAUCGGUAUUUCCAGAUGCAUGUAUGUGUAUUAUUAUAAUUUUAAUUAUUCUCACUUAAAAUGGGCUUUAUUGAUCCGGUCACCAGCCAAAAGAAGAUUUUGCUACACCUUCAAGGGUUCACAACCUAGGAAUGAAAUCUCCACACUUUUUAGGAAACACAAAUUCCAACAUGCCACCUAACAUUCAUGGCUGUGGUUCUAUCCAACAAAACCAUUUGAUCAUUCCUCCAAGAGUUCAUCUUGACAUCAAUUCGGAACAUAAAGCAACAAACAUGGUACAGAAACAGCUUAAGCUUGCAUCUAAAGGAGUUAGCUCCGUUGAUGUUGCAAAGCUAUCGUUGCCUUCUCCUACUACGCCAAAGGAAGGCACGACCAAAGUUGGCUCAUCCUCUUCUGACCAAAGUACAUAGUACAUCUGGAACAAAUCAAACUUUGGUGGAAAUUCCAAAGAAAUUGCCAGCUAGGAUU